rnacentral:rRNA from 1 species
GAUGAACGCUGGCGGCGUGCCUAACACAUGCAAGUCGAGCGGAGAUAGAGAGAGUACUUGUACAAUUUCUAUUUCAGCGGCGGACGGGUGAGUAACACGUGAGUAACCUGCCUUUCACUGGGGAAUAACAUCGAGAAAUCGGUGCUAAUACCGCAUAAUGUCACGAGGCUGCAUGGCCAUGUGACCAAAGGAGUAAUCCGGUGAAAGAUGGACUCGCGUCCGAUUAGAUAGUUGGUGAGGUAACGGCCACCAAGUCUGCGAUCGGUAGCCGAACUGAGAGGUUGAUCGGCCACAUUGGGACUGAGACACGGCCCAGACUCCUACGGGAGGCAGCAGUGGGGAAUAUUGGGCAAUGGGCGAAAGCCUGACCCAGCAACGCCGCGUGAAGGAAGAAGGUCUUCGGAUUGUAAACUUCUUUGAUCAGGGACGAAGAAAUGACGGUACCUGAAGAACAAGCCACGGCUAACUACGUAGCCAGCAGCCGCGGUAA